CACGUAGGCGGCUCAGCAAAUCAGUCGUGGAAUCCCGACGCUUACCGUCGGAACGGCGGCUGAAAAUACUGGGCUUGAGGGCGUGAGGGGUCACUGGAACUCUCGGUGAAGCGGUGAAAUGCGUAGAUAUCGGGAGGAACGCCGGAGGCGAAAGCGAGUGACUGGCGCGUUCCUGACGCUGAGGUGCGAAAGCUAGGGGAGCAAACA
rnacentral:rRNA from 1 species